UACGGAGGGGGCGAGCGUUGUCCGAAGUUACUGGGCGUAAAGCGCGCGUAGGCGGGUUGGUAAGUCCGCUGUGAAAGCCCGGAACUUAACUCCGGAGGGUCGGUGGAUACUGCCAGUCUUGAAGGUGCUAGGGGGAGAUGGAAUUACCGGUGUAGCGGUGAAAUGCGUAGAUAUCGGUAGGAACACCAGUGGCGAAGGCGGUCUCCUGGGGCGAUUCUUGACGCUGAGGCGCGAAAGCUGGGGGAGCAAACGGG
rnacentral:rRNA from 1 species